UGGCUCGGUGGGAAAAACUCCGGUGGUAUGAGAUGGACCCGCGUCUGAUUAGGUAGUUGGUGGGGUAACGGCCUACCAAGCCAACGAUCAGUAGCCGACCUGAGAGGGUGACCGGCCACAUUGGGACUGAGACACGGCCCAAACUCCUACGGGAGGCAGCAGUGGGGAAUAUUGCACAAUGGGGGAAACCCUGAUGCAGCGACGCCGCGUGAGCGAAGAAGUAUUUCGGUAUGUAAAGCUCUAUCAGCAGGGAAGAAAAUGACGGUACCUGACUAAGAAGCACCGGCUAAAUACGUGCCAGCAGCCGCGGUAAUACGUAUGGUGCAAGCGUUAUCCGGAUUUACUGGGUGUAAAGGGAGCGUAGUCGGCUGUGUAAGUCUGAAGUGAAAGCCC
rnacentral:rRNA from 1 species